UACGUAGGGUGCAAGCGUUGUCCGGAAUUAUUGGGCGUAAAGAGCUCGUAGGCGGUCUGUCGCGUCUGCUGUGAAAACUCAGGGCUUAACCCUGAGCUUGCAGUGGGUACGGGCAGACUAGAGUGCGGUAGGGGAGACUGGAAUUCCUGGUGUAGCGGUGAAAUGCGCAGAUAUCAGGAGGAACACCGGUGGCGAAGGCGGGUCUCUGGGCCGUAACUGACGCUGGAGGAGCGGAAAGCAUGGGGAGCGAACAGGA
rnacentral:rRNA from 1 species